rnacentral:sRNA from 1 species
CCUGGCAUCUUGGUGUGGAGAGAGUUUCCUUAUCCAGACCUCAAUAGCAAAUGUCCAGGGAAAGAUUACCAGAAACUACCCAAGGCUGCCAGAAGAAGGGGAGGGCAGAAGAGAUGAGUCAGCUCUCAGCUGCAGCAGCUUCUCCCAGGCUAGAGGAAAGUGAGGGAUCCUGUUGUGUUUUGGAAGAUAGGCAGAAAUCAUGGUGGAAGGGCUUGAGGCUGCGUAAAGCAGAUCUUCCCCAAGACCUGGCACUACUGAGACAUUUGGGAAAGUUUGGGGCCCAUGAGAGUCAACAGAAGAUGAAGAAGGGGAGAGAAGAAGAAGCUGGGGAGCUGGGAACGUCAUCUCAGGCUGGAGGACAAGCCUGCGACAGGGCCGGUUCCACAGAGGAGUCAAAAGAGUUAAAGCCCAGAAGGCAGCUGGAAGAGAAGGCAAAGCUGGAAAAGGAAGUAAAACCAGCAGCUGUUCUGAUUUUGAAGGAGAGUAAAUGGGCUUAUCUGCUUUAUGGUCUAAGGAGCAGAGAAAACUCAUUCUCCUCUGGUUAUAAAUUCCCGAGUUGCAGAAGGAAGUCUCCUAACUACUGAUCGGUUCCUCUUGGGGUGGGAAAAUCUCUGAGCUACAGUGAGUCAUUCCCAGGAUGCCAACAAUGGCCUCCACUUCUCCCUCUGCCCCUGCCCAGAUACAAGAAUGCCCUGGGGAGAGUCAUGAAAGAACUUCCCCCAGGGGAGCCCAUUCCUCGGCCCAGCCAGGCCAGGCCAGCCCUGGGAAGUAGCUUGGGCAGCCGGGCUGGGCGGGGAGCGCAGGUGGCACCCUUUGUGCCCGCUCUGAGGCUGAGCCUGGGGCUGCUGCCUGCCUUCUUCCGGACAAUGGCCACGGGCAGUGUGAAGGGACUCCAGGAGCCUGGUGGCUUUGUUUGAAGCCCUGAGAAAAUGUGCUGUCCUCUGUACUUGGGCUUGCCUAGGGGCACAGAGGCCUUUAGAAAAGUCUCCCAGAAGGGAACAGAACACACCCAGGCCCACCCCUUGGAUGUUAGAGAUCAGGGUCAGUGCCCCCAUUAGGGUACAACGUGCCUCUCCUUCCAUUUCUCCCAGGUCAGUAACAGCUUAGGCUAAAUUAACCCUGGCUGUACCUAUUUUCUUCCAUUUUACUCCUUUGCCCCUUCAGGUGGACCAUUUGACCUUUGAGGGGGAAGAAUAUCAGUGGGCAGCAGAAGGGGCACGGCCCACGUGCAUUCUCAAGUCUGCUCUGCCUUUCCCCACAGCCUCCCUCUGCGCUUCUGGGUGAAUGUGAUUAAGAACCCCCAGUUCGUGUUUGACAUCCACAAGGGCAGCAUCACGGAUGCCUGCCUCUCUGUGGUGGCCCAGACCUUCAUGGACUCUUGUUCAACGUCAGAGCACCGGCUGGGCAAGGACUCCCCCUCCAACAAGCUGCUCUAUGCCAAGGACAUCCCCAGUUACAAGAGCUGGGUGGAGAGAUACUACGCAGACAUCGCCAAGCUCCCAGCCAUCAGUGACCAGGACAUGAAUGCCUACCUCGCCGAGCAGUCCCGCCUGCACGCCGUGGAGUUCAACAUGCUGAGUGCCCUCAAUGAGAUCUACUCCUACGUCAGCAAGUAUAGUGAGGAGCUCAUCGGGGCCCUUGAGCAGGAUGAGCAGGCACGGCGGCAGCGGCUGGCUUAUAAGGUGGAGCAGCUCAUUAAUGCCAUGUCCAUUGAGAGCUGAGAGGAGGAGCCUCGCAUUCCUGGGAAGAGGGACCUGUCCAAGCUGUCACACUGGGAGUCUCAGAUGGAAGGACAAGUGAUGGGGAUCAGGCCCCAGAGCUUGCUGUCCCCUGAGACCCCAUCCUGGGGAGAGGGGAGGGCCCCUCUCCCUAUGCCAGCCAAGUUUCGUCACAGCCAGUUCCAGCUGGGAGAGACAGUGGGCAUCAUCCAUCCUCAGUGAGAACACCAGAGAACCCGGGGCCAGGAGAAGGUGGUUCUUCAAAGCCGAGAGGCACGAGCUGGGGACAGUUCUGCCUCUGUGACUGCUGCUUUGCAUGAAAACUCAUUUGAUGUAUAUUGGGGAAAUAAUGAGAACUUUAUUUAAUUUUUUUUAAGAAAAAGGGAAAAAAACAGAAAUAAAACAAAAAGCCGCCCUGUUAAUCCCGUCCAACUUUUGUUUAAUUCUGAUUUCUGUCUCCCUUCCUUCUUUUCUCCCAUUCCUCCUUCUUUAUAUAAUGCCUAUUUCCAAAUGCCAGAGAAAGCAAAGAGAUGCUGAGAGACAUUGGAGAGAAAAUGACUGUCUCCUUUUCCUUGAAAUUAAAAAAAAAAAAAAAAGAGGAAGAGGAGGAGAAGAAGAAUGAGCACAAGUAUGCACCAAACACUUCGCAAAAACAGAGGCCAGUAAAACCUGGAAUUAUCCCGGCAGCCAGAAGAGCAUGGAACUUCCAGAACUUUGCACAAAUUGCAAAGCCAUCAAGAGCUCACCCUGGCUGACUGGAAACUGAGCUUUAUCUACCACACACCUGUAUAUUCUCAUCUUUUGAGAGGAGAUGUGUACCUAGAUAGUACCAAUGCUUUUUGCUACUGUUUUUUGUUUUGUUUUAUUCAAUCCUAAACCUCAACAAAUGAGGAGCUGGUCUUUGAUAUGUUUCCUUUCAAUUUCCCUAAAGUUACUAUGAGAAGUGGUGUGAGGUGGGCUUCUCCCAGACCAGACACCUGGCAGCCCUGCCUCAUAUCAAUCCCUGUCAUAAACCAGGCACCCUGGGGAAACAGCCUGGAGGUGUGUGGGCCAGGCCUCCAUGAGGUUCCAUUUGAAAGUUAAUUUGGAGACAUGGGUGUUUGACUUUGGAGUUCACUCCAAUCAUGCAGUGGUCCCUGGCAAUU